AGGACGAACGCUGGCGGCGUGCUUAACACAUGCAAGUCGAGCGGAAAGGCCCUUCGGGGUACUCGAGCGGCGAACGGGUGAGUAACACGUGAGCAACUUGCCCCUGGCUCUGGGAUAGCCUCCGGAAACGGGGAUUAAUACCGGACAUUCACUUCCUUCCGCAUGGUUGGUGGUGGAAAGUUUUUUCGGCCGGGGAGGGGCUCGCGGCCUAUCAGCUUGUUGGCGGGGUAACGGCCCACCAAGGCGACGACGGGUAGCCGGCCUGAGAGGGCGACCGGCCACACUGGGACUGAGACACGGCCCAGACUCCUACGGGAGGCAGCAGUGGGGAAUAUUGCGCAAUGGGCGGAAGCCUGACGCAGCGACGCCGCGUGGGGGAUGAAAGGCCUUCGGGUUGUAAACCCCGUUUCUACCACGGAGCGAAUCCAGACGGUACCUGGGGAAGAAGACGCCGGCGUAACUACGUAGCCAGCAGACCGC
rnacentral:rRNA from 1 species